rnacentral:rRNA from 1 species
CCUACGGGUGGCAGCAGUGAGGAAUAUUGGUCAAUGGGCGCGAGCCUGAACCAGCCAAGUCGCGUGAAGGAUGACGGACCUAUGGGUUGUAAACUUCUUUUAUAUGGGAAUAAAGUGAGGAACGUGUUCCUUUUUGUAUGUACCAUAUGAAUAAGCAUCGGCUAACUCCGUGCCAGCAGCCGCGGUAAUACGGAGGAUGCGAGCGUUAUCCGGAUUUAUUGGGUUUAAAGGGUGCGUAGGUGGUUGAUUAAGUCAGUGGUGAAAGUUUGUGGCUCAACCAUAAAAUUGCCGUUGAUACUGGUUGUCUUGAGUACAGUUGAGGUAGGCGGAAUUCGUGGUGUAGCGGUGAAAUGCAUAGAUAUCACGAAGAACUCCGAUUGCGAAGGCAGCUUACUAAACUAUAACUGACAUUGAUGCUCGAAAGUGUGGGGAUCAAACAGGAUUAGAUACCCGAGUAGUC